rnacentral:pre_miRNA from 1 species
GAAUUACUCCCUCCGUCCGGAAAUACUUGUCUUAGAAAUGGAUAAAAUAGAUGUAUCUAUAACUAAAAUAAAUCUAGAUACAACCAUUUCGAGGACAAGUAUUUUCGGACGGAGGGAGUAUAUC